rnacentral:rRNA from 1 species
CCGGGGCAUCCCGGAGGCAGGAAAGGCUUCGGCCGGACAGGGAUGGGCAUGCGGCGCAUUAGGCAGUAGGCGGGGUAACGGCCCACCUAACCGACGAUGCGUAGGGGUUCUGAGAGGAAGGUCCCCCACACUGGUACUGAGACACGGACCAGACUCCUACGGGAGGCAGCAGUGAGGAAUAUUGGUCAAUGGUCGGGAGACUGAACCAGCCAAGCCGCGUGAGGGAGGAAGGUACAGAGUAUCGUAAACCUCUUUUGUCAGGGAACAAAGACUGGGACGCGUCCCCGGAUGAGUGUACCUGAAGAAAAAGCAUCGGCUAACUCCGUGCCAGCAGCCGCGGUAAUACGGAGGAUGCGAGCGUUAUCCGGAUUUAUUGGGUUUAAAGGGUGCGCAGGCGGUCUGUUAAGUCAGCGGUCAAAGCCCGGGGCUCAACCCCGGCCCGCCGUUGAAACUGGCAGUCUCGAGUUGGAGAGAAGUAUGCGGAAUGCGCGGUGUAGCGGUGAAAUGCAUAGAUAUCGCGCAGAACUCCGAUUGCGAAGGCAGCAUGCCGGCUCCACACUGACGCUGAGGCACGAAAGCGUGGGUAUCGAACAGGAUUAGAUACCCUGGUAGUCCACGCAGUAAACGAUGAAUGAUGGCUGUCCGGG